GCACUCGUUUCAGCAGCACACAUACUGAAAUUGAAACAGUACAGACAAGAGCAGCGUGGCCCCACCACGAGGAUGAUAUGCAAAUUCGCGACACCGUCUAUACCUUU
ensembl:snRNA U6 U6 spliceosomal RNA